rnacentral:rRNA from 1 species
GACGAACGCUGGCGGCGUGCUUAACACAUGCAAGUCGAACGGAAAGGCCCUGCUUUUGUGGGGUGCUCGAGUGGCGAACGGGUGAGUAACACGUGAGUAACCUGCCCUUGACUUUGGGAUAACUUCAGGAAACUGGGGCUAAUCCCGGAUAGGAGCCCCUGCUGCUUGGUGGGGGUGGGAAAGUUUCGGCGGUUGGGGAUGGACUCGCGGCUUAUCAGCUUGUUGGUGGGGUAGUGGCUUACCAAGGCUUUGACGGGUAGCCGGCCUGAGAGGGUGACCGGCCACAUUGGGACUGAGAUACGGCCCAGACUCCUACGGGAGGCAGCAGUGGGGAAUAUUGCACAAUGGGCGGAAGCCUGAUGCAGCAACGCCGCGUGCGGGAUGACGGCCUUCGGGUUGUAAACCGCUUUCGCCUGUGACGAAGCGUGAGUGACGGUAAUGGGUAAAGAAGCACCGGCUAACUACGUG